rnacentral:hammerhead_ribozyme from 1 species
CCACUGCUGAGGAGUCCCAUACUAGGACGAAACGGCCGUCCAGUGU